rnacentral:rRNA from 1 species
AUGCAAGUCGAACGGUAACAGGAAGCAGCUUGCUGCUUCGCUGACGAGUGGCGGACGGGUGAGUAAUGUCUGGGAAACUGCCUGAUGGAGGGGGAUAACUACUGGAAACGGUGGCUAAUACCGCAUAACGUCGCAAGACCAAAGAGGGGGACCUUCGGGCCUCUUGCCAUCAGAUGUGCCCAGAUGGGAUUAGCUUGUUGGUGAGGUAACGGCUCACCAAGGCGACGAUCCCUAGCUGGUCUGAGAGGAUGACCAGCCACACUGGAACUGAGACACGGUCCAGACUCCUACGGGAGGCAGCAGUGGGGAAUAUUGCACAAUGGGCGCAAGCCUGAUGCAGCCAUGCCGCGUGUAUGAAGAAGGCCUUCGGGUUGUAAAGUACUUUCAGCGGGGAGGAAGGUGUUGUGGUUAAUAACCGCAGCAAUUGACGUUACCCGCAGAAGAAGCACCGGCUAACUCCGUGCCAGCAGCCGCGGUAAUACGGAGGGUGCAAGCGUUAAUCGGAAUUACUGGGCGUAAAGCGCACGCAGGCGGUCUGUCAAGUCGGAUGUGAAAUCCCCGGGCUCAACCUGGGAACUGCAUUCGAAACUGGCAGGCUUGAGUCUUGUAGAGGGGGGUAGAAUUCCAGGUGUAGCGGUGAAAUGCGUAGAGAUCUGGAGGAAUACCGGUGGCGAAGGCGGCCCCCUGGACAAAGACUGACGCUCAGGUGCGAAAGCGUGGGGAGCAAACAGGAUUAGAUACCCUGGUAGUCCACGCCGUAAACGAUGUCUACUUGGAGGUUGUGCCCUUGAGGCGUGGCUUCCGGAGCUAACGCGUUAAGUAGACCGCCUGGGGAGUACGGCCGCAAGGUUAAAACUCAAAUGAAUUGACGGGGGCCCGCACAAGCGGUGGAGCAUGUGGUUUAAUUCGAUGCAACGCGAAGAACCUUACCUGGUCUUGACAUCCACAGAACUUUCCAGAGAUGGAUUGGUGCCUUCGGGAACUGUGAGACAGGUGCUGCAUGGCUGUCGUCAGCUCGUGUUGUGAAAUGUUGGGUUAAGUCCCGCAACGAGCGCAACCCUUAUCCUUUGUUGCCAGCGAUUAGG